CCCUCCCGGAAUGCAGAAAUGUCUGGGACAACACAGAGCAUACUCUCUCCACAUCUGAGGAGGAAAUAUAAAGCACUUAAAAGGAAGCAUUAUUUACAAGAGCCAAGAUAUCAAAGCAACCUAAGGACCAUUGAUAGACAAAUGGAUAAGGAAAAUAUGGAUAUUCAAUUUUAAAAACCAAGAAACAAAACACAAUGUUUUAGCAGCAACAUCAGCAGGGCCACUGAAGACCACAGGUUCUAAACCACUGAACUACUGAAAAACAAAAAACAAUAACAACAAACACUCACUGAACUACUGGCUCAUCUGUAAAUUUCAGUUCUGGAAUUAAAGCUGAAAAUCUACUCCUGAA